rnacentral:lncRNA from 1 species
GCUCUCCUCUCCUGCUAAGCUUUGUUUCCUGGCAGUAAUUAAAACCUUCUGCCACUGCCAUAGCUACUGCUGCUGCUGGAACCGCCAUAGCCACCUUGGUUUCGUGGUUUGGCAAAGUAUUGGCCUCCACCACCAUAGGGGCCAGAGCUUCUGCCUCCAAAAUGUCCUCCUUUCAUGGGUCCAAAAUUUGAAGAUUGAUUGUAAUUGCCAAAAUCAUUAUAGCUUCCACCACCUCCAAAGUUGCUUCCAUCGUUACCAAAUCCGUUAUAGCCAUCCCCUCUGCCACCAUAUCCACCACCACCUCGACUGCCGCCAAAGCCACCUCGCCCACUGAAGUUUCCUCCACGGCCAAAGUUGUCAUUCCCACCAAAACCACCUCCACGACCACCACCGAAGUUCCCAGAACCACUUCGACCUCUGGCUGGAAGAAGCACUAGCCAUCUCUUGCUUAGAUAAAGCUUUCCUUACUUCACAGUUGUGUCCGUUCACAGUAUGGUAUUUUUGAAUGACAAUCUUGUCUACAGAGUCAUGGUCGUCAAAGGUCACAAAAGCAAAGCCUCUCUUUUUGCCACUGCCUCGGUCAGUCAUGAUUUCAAUCACUUCAGUUUUCCCAUACUGUUCAAAAUAAUCUCUUAGAUGAUGUUCUUCAGUGUCUUCUUUAAUGCCACGGACAAAAAUCUUUUUCACAGUUAAGUGGGCACCAGGUCUUUGAGAAUCUUCUCUCAAGACAGCCCUUUUUGGUUCCACAACUCUUCCAUCCACCUUGUGUGGCCUUGCAUUCAUGGCUGCAUCCACGUCUUCCACAGUGGCAUAGGUGACAAACCCAAAGCCUCUGGAGCGCUUGGUGUUUGGAUCUCUCAUUACCACACAGUCCUGAAGCGUUCCCCAUUGCUCAAAAUGGCUCCUCAGACUCUCACCGGUUGUUUCAAAGCUCAAACCUCCAAUGAAAAGCUUCCGCAGCUGUUCAGGCUCUUUGGGAGACUCUGACUUAGACAUGACAGCGGUGGGAGGGGAGACUUUCACGAUGCUUACUCGGCGGCUUCCAUGGGCAGAAAG